ensembl:lncRNA
UGCUAAAUGCUAAAGUGCAUCAUAGAAUAAUUAGAAUUAGAAUAAAGAAGGGUAUGAAUUGAAAGUUCGCCAACAGAAAGCCUCUUCUCUCUAAAAAGAACACAGUAUCAUAGCUUCACAAAGAUGAAUCUGAACAAGCUACAAGAGUUGUGGAAUAAUGACCUUUGGAUAGAUGGGACCAAUGUGGGAAUGUUUACCCAUAAUGCACACCACCAGUUUAGCACAAAAACAUCAUAGCAACUGUGAAGCACAGUGGUGGAGGAGGGGGAAACUGUGCUUAUUUUGUUUUUGCAGCAACACGACCUGGGCACCAACCAUGUAGUCAACCAUGACCGCCUCUGUAUACGAAAAUAUUCUGGACACAAAUGUGAGGCCAUCUGUCUGACAGCUACACGUUGGACCAAACAAGGUCAUGCAACAGGAUAAUAAUCCCAAGUGCAGUAGCAAAUGCCUGAAAAGGAACAGAAUCGACUUGUUGAAUCAACCUAAGGCCUUUAAAAAGCUGUGCAAAAACAAAUCCCUGCAAACCCCAAUGAGCAGAAGCAAUGCUGUAAAGAAGAGUGGGCCAAAAUUUCUCUAUAAUGAUGCAAGAGACUAACAAAGUCGUGCUGAAAACAACUACUCUGCAUUAUUCUUGCUAAAGGUAGUUGUUGUAUCUAUUGAUUCAUCAGGUUGUACUAAGCUUUUUCAUAUGACUGUCUUAUUUAAAAAAAAAAAAAAAAGCCAACACCACCCUGAAUGUAGAAACUAUCCCAUACUUCUGCUGGGUGUAAACCUGCAAAACAAUGAGCCACAAGAAUGUUGACAGAUUCUGAGAAUAAAAAAAACAGUUUCACUUUGUAUUCACAGAAACGUAAUCUCCAAAAUACUCGUGUCAAAUUGCAGCACAUUUCAAAACACCUGCAUUUUCUGAAGUGCAGUUAUGAAGUGCAGCUGGCUCACUCCAGGAUGUGGUUUUUGUCAUCGUCGAGCUGAUGCUCUGCACAGGACAAACUGUCACAGACCUGAGACACGGUUUCCAUCUGUAAAUCGAAAUGUGAGACUUACAUCAGAGCGUUGCUCAACAGGGUCAAAAUGACUGUAAU